UUAGUGUGACAGUGAAGAAACAUAUUCAUUUUCAUCCCGCUCUGUAAGCAGGAUGGGAUCUGCAGAGACUUUGAUUCAUCUGCCGUCCGGACAUGGAGUGAUGUGGGUCUCCUCUAAUUAGACAGUGGGAUGCUGCAGGUCACUAGACUGACCGGCUGUGCUUUGGGAAGGGGAGGAGCUCACAGCGCCACCUGCUGCUUGUUGAGGACAAUGCACAAUGAGGGACGUCUGCAGCGACUGAGAAAGAGUCUCACCACAUCCUGACAUGAGGAAAAAGACUUUAUUGAAGACUACAAUGAGAAAAACUAUCAGACAGCAGAUGGCAUGCAUUCAAAGUGAGCUCUGAACAUUUGAUCUGGAACAGGAAUUCAAUAACGGCAGCAUGAGCUUCAUUUCAGUCUGUAGCUGCUGAAUUCAUGGAUGAAUCAUCUGGCACUAGAGAGGAAGACCAUCAAACAUCCACGUCAGCUGAUGGAGGUCCAAGAGUCUCACCAAACAAACAACCUACAGAGUGAAGACCUCGAAUCUUGAUUGGACGGCCUCCUAUUCAGCCACAUGUGUGAACAAAUGCCUCUAAGCUGAUUUGUUUUCUAAAAUAUAUCUAGUUUGUGUCCUAAUCAAUGCUUGUGUGUUUGCUUCUUUACAC
ensembl:lncRNA